CUGACUCAGGAGUUGGGAUGUGUUGUUGUGGAUCCUACAGUGAGCCUGGGGAUGGUGAAGACACAGCCAAGCAGAACUGCCACGAACCUAGACUAUCAAGAGACAGCUUGCCUUGCUGAAUGUUCUUCUAACUACCUGGGGGAUUCAGAGAACAAGGGCUGUUUCAUAAUGCUUGUUGCUGAAACAUUUGCCGAAAUCAGUCUGGCUGAAGGCUUCAUGGAUAUUACCUGGAGGGAGGAGAGAUUUUAUGAGGAACACUCCACCUUCCUGUGCUACCAACUGGAUUCUAUGGUAUAUACACUUCGCUGGCUUCCCGUCUCCCGGUAUGACGUAGGAUGGAGGUGUUAUCACCAGCAAAAUCUUAAUAACCAUUAUCACCUUCAUGAUAGUUAAUAUGUAUCCAGGGCUUACUUUGUACCCAGAUAUCUUUGGUGCUUAACAUGUGUUAUUUAACUUAAUGUUUAAAAGAGCUCUGAAGGCUGUACCAGUUAUUAUGAAUUUAGUAGCUGACACUGGUCACACCACAGAUGCAAAUUCUUGUUUGAAAUUUGACACUGAAGACUGCGUAAGUUUCAUUUUACUCCUGACAUGUUGGGUGACAUUGGAAACUACUCAAUUUCUCAGAAACUAGAUGAUCUCAGUUACCUUGGGGAAGAGAAAGUUUAAAAUUUCCUUACGUUUUGUUAUUUUUGAUGACUCUAUAAGUACUAGCCUUGUUCUUUUGACUCAUAUUUAACUCAUAUUCAUUUUCUGAUCCUUCAAAGAAAAAGAUGCAAAAUGACUCUUUGUGUUGAUCUUUGCAGUACUGCAUUAGUUC
rnacentral:lncRNA from 1 species